AUGAAUUUGCAAAAGGAUGAUGACGGCGGUGUUGUAACUUCUCGUGGAAACACACCUUUUUAUUGCAUACCUGAGUAUUGGGAUAGUUUCAAGGGUGAUAUGGAUGAUCCUAUCCAAGUACCAGAAGUAUCAGAUGAAAAAGCUGCCACAUCUUUAGGGACGGACGAAAUCGCAUCGCAUGCGUCGCUUGGUUCUCAAGGAGUUCAAGAGGAAGUGGAGGAGGUUACUGGCAGGCGCAAGCGCAAAGGAUCACAACAUGUCAAGUCUCCUUAUGUGGUCCCUAAACCGAACAAGCGUGCAAAACGUUCUGCGAGAGGAAAAUUGUUCCAAAAAGGUGGUGUUAACAAAUCUAGUGAUGAGUAUGAUGUGGUGAAAGCGUCCAUCAAGUACGUGCACGCGCAUGAGCAUUCACAAAAACAUGCCAAAAUAGAAAUUUUCAAUGAUGGCAUUGAAGAAGGUCUCACUGUGCAGAGAGCUUGUCAGAUUAUUAACCAUGAGUGGCUAAGUGGCGACGUAAUUAAUGCAUACUCAUCAUAUUUGGUCGACAAAGUUAGUGAUGAUCGUUUCAUGUUGACAACUUGGAGGAUACAUUGGUUGCUUCACAUUAGACCCGGAGAGAAGAUCGCCGGUAACAAUUAUGAAGCAGAGUCGCAUAGUAAUGGACCCGUGAAUAGAUGUGAGGACGAGUAUUUCAAAAAAUCAAAGACUUACAUUCCUCUAAACAAGCAAAACACUCACUGGAUUACUGUCAUCAUGCAUCGCGGGAAGAGAGAGUUCCAGGUUCUUGACUCGUUGAUGAACGGAAAACUUGACAGUGUUACUAGAGAACUCGUUGGGGACCUAAGAAAACAACUAGCAGAAGAUAUCCAAGAAGCAAAUGCAACCGGAAUUGUGAAUUAUCCGGAUGUUUCCAAUUGGCCUAUUGAAACGUAUGACAUGCCAAAACAACAUGAUGGGAAUUUGUGUGGAAUAUUUCUCCUUCGAUGCUUUCAAUAUUGGGAUGGUGACAAAUGGACAUGCUUAUUUUCACAAAGGUCAAUUGACGAUUCGAGAGAGGUAAUGAUUGCGCAACUUAUCUUUUCGGAAAGAAACAAGCUUGAUGAAGUGAAAAACAAAGAUAUUCGGAUAUCAAAAAAGAAGAAAUAG
rnacentral:rRNA from 1 species